rnacentral:rRNA from 1 species
UACAGAGGGGGCAAGCGUUAUUCGGAAUUAUUGGGCGUAAAGGGCGCGUAGGCGGCCUGGCAAGUGGAAGGUGAAAUCCCUCGGCUUAACCGAGGAACUGCCCUCCAAACUGCUUGGCUUGAGUCCGGGAGAGGUGAGUGGAAUUCCCAGUGUAGCGGUGAAAUGCGUAGAUAUUGGGAGGAACACCAGUGGCGAAGGCGGCGCACUGGACCGGAACUGACGCUGAGGCGCGAAAGCGUGGGGAGCAAACGGG